rnacentral:lncRNA from 1 species
UAGAGGUUAGAAUUUCAAUAUUGUGCUUCUAAUGUAGAUGAACAUAGUGAUUGAAGAAGAACCGAAAUGGACAUGUAUGAUUGAACCCGAGAGAUGUGUGAAUGUGGGACUUGGACUUGACCAUAGUAAACAAAGGUGACAUUGACUAUAGAGACAAGAUUGGCAUUGACAAAAAUGACUAGAAAGUGACAUGAACAAAUAGGUAGAAAACCUAUCAUAAAAGUGGCAUUGUGACUAGUGGCUAUGUAUCCUCAACUUGAGGAUUGGAUCGAGGCUCACGUGGACUUAGGCUUGAGGGAGGUCGCUCCUCCUCAAGUGGUGUACUUCGAAGUGUAGACACCAACGGGGAAGAACCCCGUCGACGAUCCCUCGGGUGGUUGUGCUUAAAGCCUCCCUCGGUAGACGGGGGAUGGAUUGGUGAGCUAUUGGGGUUAACAAAGUUAACCGGUAAGAUUGGGUACAGAAAGAUAGAGUAAUGAAAAAGAACAUGCAUGGAUGCAUAUUAUAUAUUGUUGAAUACAUAUAUCCACUGAUAUUCUUUUGUAGGCAUAGUAUUAGAUGCAUUAGUACUGGUUACUUUUCCUUCCUUGAAAUACUUAUGCCUGGAUAGACCUAGUGGGUAAGUCGGCGAGGUCGGAUGUCGAGCCCACUGGGAACUUCGUUUAGUUCUCACACAACUAAUCCUACAGGUCCUAGCACGAGCGGGGCGGCGGAGGACCGAGGCAAGGGUAUAGCGCCGUAGGUAGCGGCCACCGGGAUUUUCCUAUUUUGUAGCCAUUUCCCUUUUGGUAUACAAGUAUCAACUUUAUUUUGUUGAUUUAGAGAUGUAAAGUUGUAAACAAUCAUGUAAUUUGGUGGAUGGCUAAAUGUAAAAAGAAAUGAUGAAUGAAUGGAAAAGAAUGUAAUAGUUAAUUUACUUGUAUUUGGUUCAAAUGCAAUCAAGUACCUUGUAUGUUGUAUGAUGUAGCUUAGAGCUUUCGCUUCCGUUGUUGCUUGUCCUCGUGCAAACCUUGUAUUAUAUAUGCAAAUCUCUUGUUGAUUGCUUAUUCAUACAUAUUGUUAGAGCCUUGGGCGAACAGGGGAGGCUCUGUCCGUUCGGCGUCUGUUGACGUGACCCGAACCCGACCAAAUUGGCGGGGAUUGGGGCGUGACAGAUAUAAUGGUAUCAGAGCGAAGUUGAAAGCAAAAGUCUAGGAAUGACCUAGGAACCAGAGGUUUGAAGACCAUAGGGACUUAGGAAAACGUUUAACGUGGACUUGGUUUAUGCAAAAGCGAAUGAUUCGGUCAACGGUAACACUUCUCUAGAAGGAAGUAGAGAUGGACUAGGAGGCUUAAUUGUUGUCUACUUAAGGGACCUUGUGGGGCGGCCGACCACAUGACACCAAGAAUGGAAACGAUUAUGCUUGUUGCUUUCGCUUAAUUGGGUAGUUAUUUGGAACGUGUAAGAGUCACGUGUCUCGAGUGCUAAUGUGUGUGCAUUGCGUUUCAGGACGCGAUGGCACCGCCGAGGAGAGUUACGAGGUCUACACCGGCGGAGCCUCGGGAGGAGCCCGGGCAGUCAGGGUCGGACGAAGUGCGCGAGUUGCGAGCCCAGGUAGCGGCUUUGGCCGGGGCUAUGCGGCUUCAAGGGGAGCAGAUUGGGCAGCUCCACGUGAUGAUGGUGCAAUAGGCGGCGGCGGCGGCCUCGGUGCCGAGGGAUCCACCCCCACUGGCUGCUCCUGUAGCACCACCUCCUGCGGUGGCGGCAGCGCCAGUGACGAUGGUUCCUUCGACGGCAUCGGGUUCAUCGACUCCUAUUCCCGAUGUACUUGAGGCCGAGCAGGAGCGCACGUUGGCGGCGCUGACGGCAUUCAAGCGAUUCAACCCUCCAACCUUCAAUGGUGAUGUGAAGGAUCCGUGGGUGACGGAGAGUUGGCUAGCCGCGAUGGAGGCGUUGUUCGAGGAUAUCUAUACCCUCGAGAAGGAUAAAGUUCACCUUGCGGCACAUUGUUUCGAUGGGCCGGCCCGCUUGUGGUGGAAUCAGGCAAAGAAAAAUCGCUCGUUAGGGCACGCUUUUCUUACUUGCCAGGCGUUUCGGGAGAUGCUGCUUAUGGAGUAUUUCCCCGAGAGCGACAAAAGGAAAAUCAAGGAGGAUUUUCGGAAGCUAAGGUAGGGAAGCCGAUCGGUGCGGGAGUACGAGAGGGAAUUCACGCACAUGAUUAACUGCGUGCCGGCUUGGUUCACGGUGAUAGGGACCGAGCGGAGGUGUUUGAGCGCGGGUUGCGACCCGAGAUUUUCAAGGUCAUACAUGCCUUCCGUUUGAAGACCUACGAGGAGGUUCUUGACCGCGCGCUCUGGGUGGAGCGCGGGAAUGCCAUUGCGCGUGAUGAGCGCGAGACUUUUGAGAGGGACAGGGAGAAAGAUAAGUCCAAGAAGCGACCGGCUGUUGGUUCGGCGGGCCAAUCAAGCUCAAAGCGACCCCCGCGACCUCAGUGAUCACAGGGGCGGGGAGGCAGGAGCCAGGCGACUUUCUUCCCGUGUGUUAUUUGCGGCGGGAACCAUAGGCCCACGGAUUGUUCCCAGCGCGGGGGGAGAUGUUAUCGGUACGGCUCUGCUGGACACAUGAGUUGGGAGUGCUCGGGCGGUGCAUCCCCGGCUCUGUCAUCAGCUUCAGUCCAGUACACCCCACGGCAGCAGGCGGGGCUGCCACCCGCCAUAUCUGCUGGACGAUCGUCGGCGCCUCGUUAGCCGGAGGCCUCUCGAGCACCUAGUGGGCGGGUAUUUGCCACUUAGGUGGAGGAGCCACCAAUUAUUGUUCCCAACGACGUCGUGGCAGGUAUUAUUCUUAUCAGAGGCACUAGGGCUAGAGCCAUAUUUGAUACAGGUGCAUCUCAAUCAUUCAUAACAGCAUCAUUUGCACUAGCUCAUGACAUAGAGGUUAUGCAUUAUGAGGAUUAUUGGACGGUGACAGCACCUGGACUUACGUUUCAUGUGCAUGAUGAAUGUUUAGACUGUCCAGUACAGAUAGGCGAUUGGAUCAUGCCGAUCGACUUGUUAGUGUUGAAGCAAUUGUGGAGAUUUGACGUACUCUUGGGCACCAAUUGGCUCUCCAAGUAUUACGCGGUUAUCGAUUGCGAAAGGAAGGUUAUCACUUUUCGUGAGCUUAACCAAGAGGAGAUGGUCUACAAGGCGUGUAAUGGUGCGCGUUUCGCGGCGACCAUAUCGUCAGUGAGGGCGAAGAAACUGAUCAAGGGUGGUUGCAAGGCCUACUUGGCGACCAUCGUAGACCCUCAAAGGGAAUACGCGGAAUUGGAAAAUAUUCGGGUGGUGUGCGAGUACCCGGAUGUAUUUUCGGCGGAGUUACCGGGAUUGCCACCGGAUCGGGAAGUCGGGUUCGUCAUUGACUUGAUUCCCGGGGCGGCGCCAAUUUCGAAGGCUCCGUAUAGAAUGGCACCGGUGGAGUUAAAAGAGUUAAAAGCCCAGUUGCAAGACUUGCUCGAUAAAGGCUUCGUACGGCCGAGCGUGUCUCCGUGGGGAGCUCCGGUGCUAUUUGUAAAGAAGAAGGACGGCACACUCCGACUCUGCGUUGACUAUCGCGAGUUGAAUAGAGUGACGAUCAAGAACAAGUACCCACUGCCGAGAAUUGACGAUCUAUUCGAUCAGUUACAAGGGUCAAGGGUAUAUUCUAAAAUUGAUCUCUAGUCGGGGUAUCAUCAAUUGAAGAUACGACCCAAGGAUGUGCACAAAACGGCGUACCGUACGCGGUAUGGCCAUUACGAAUUCACGGUGAUGCCGUUUGGGCUUACUAAUGCCCCAGCAGCAUUCAUGGACUUGAUGAAUAGAGUCUUCCGUCCGCUAUUGGACCGGUGCGUCGUGGUUUUCAUUGACGACGUAUUGGUAUAUUCUCGGACCGAAGAAGAACAUGAGGAGCAUUUAAGGCUCGUGUUGGAGAUACUCCGGAAGGAAAAGCUUUAUGCAAAAUUGAAGAAAUGUGAGUUUUGGCUUUCGGAGGUUACUUUCUUGGGCCACGUUGUAUCCGUAGAUGGCAUUUCGGUGGACCCAAAGAAAGUUGAGGCGAUUAAAGAUUGGCCUCGCCCAACAAGUGCAGCGGAAGUUCGUAGCUUCCUUGGACUUGCGGGCUACUACCGGCGGUUCGUGGAGGGGUUUGGCAGGAUAACAACUCCACUAACGCGCCUCACGCACAAAGGGAUGAAGUAUGUUUGGAGCCCCGAGUGUGAGCGGAGCUUUGAGGAGCUAAAGAAUAGACUAACAUAUACUCCAGUGCUUGCUUUGCCGAUGCUGGGAGAGAGUUACGUCAUUUAUAGUGAUGCCUCGUACGUUGGCCUCGGGUGUGUCUUAAUGCAAAACGGCCGAGUCAUAGCCUAUGCAUCGCGUCAGUUGAAGACAUACGAAAAGAAUUACCCGACAUAUGAUCUUGAACUAGCGGUGGUUAUUUUCACGCUAAAGCUUUGGAGGCAUUACUUAUAUGGGGAACAUUGUGAGAUUUACACCGACCAUAAGAGUCUCAAAUACUUGUUCACCUAAAAGGAGCUAAACUUGCGACAGCGGCGGUGGUUAGAGUUGCUCAAGGAUUAUGAUGUCACGAUUCUCUACCACCCCGGGAAAGCGAACGUUGUGGCCGAUGCUCUAAGUAGAAAGUCGGCGGAGAAUUUGGCGACGAAAAUUACACCUCAACCGGCUUUGCAAAAGGAGAUGCAGCGGUUUGGUCUAGAAGUUGUGGCACCGGGAGUGCCGGCAACACUUGCCACCUUGGUUGUGCAACCAACCUUGUUGGAGAAGCUUAAGGGAUUACAAGCAUCGGAUGAAUUUCUCCAAAAGGUGCGGGGCAAAGUUGAGAGCGAUAGUGCCGAUGAUUUUGGCAUUGGAACCGACGGUGCACUACGAUAUCGGGAUCGUUGGUGCGUGCCCAAGGACGACGAUCUUCGGAGGGCGAUUAUGCAAGAAGCGCAUAUCUCCCUAUAGCAUUCACCCGGGCGGCGCCAAAAUGUAUCGGGACCUGAAAUUGCAUUAUUGGUGGCCGGGCAUGAAGAAAGAUAUAGGAGAGUUUGUGGCACAGUGCCUCACGUGCCAACAAGUGAAGGCGGAGCGUCGAUUUCCGGCGGAAAAGUUGCAAAGUCUACCUAUACCCGUGUGGAAAUGGAAAAACAUCGCAAUGGAUUUUGUGACAGGUAUGCCUAAAUCACAAGGUGGACAUGACGCGAUUUGGGUAGUUGUGGACCGGUUGACAAAAUCGGCACACUUUCUGCCGAUCCACACUACUUGGUCGGGAGACAAGUUAGCUCAAGUCUAUAUUGACGAGGUGGUGAGACUUCAUGGGGUUCCGGUAUCUAUAGUAUCGGAUCGGGACCCUAGGUUCACGUCUCAUUUUUGGAAGAGCUUACGAGAUGCAUUGGGCACACGGCUCGACUUUAGCAUGGCAUUCCAUCCUCAAAGUGACGGUCAAUCGGAAAGGACUAUUCAAAUACUUGAGGACAUGCUUCGAGCGUGUGUACUUGAUUAUAAGGGCGGAUGGCACGAUCACUUGCCGAUGGCGGAAUUCGCAUACAAUAAUAGCUAUCAAGAAAGUAUUGCGAUGGCACCAUUCGAGGCCCUGUAUGGAAGAAAAUGUGAGACCCCAAAUAGUCCUAUAUAUGAGAUAUAAUAGGGCUAAACUCUUAACCCGGCUUAAGCAUUUUGGGUGGUGGCAAGGCCCAAGAGGUUAAGAGAGUUAAGCGUGCUAGGACGGGAGUAGUCCUAGGAUGGGUGACCCCUUGGGAAGUCGGGGCGUCACAGAAAAUGUCACUCGCGAAUACAUUGGAGCGAUGUGGGCGAGAAGAUGGUUCUUGGCCCGGAUGUGGUGCGGGAGGCGGAAGAGAAGGUUCACCUUGCCUGACAAAGAUUAGCGACGGCGCAAUCGAGGCACAAGAGUUAUGCCGACAAGCGGCGAAAGGAUAUUGAGUUCGCGGUAGGAGACCGCGUAUUUCUAAAAGUAUCGCCGAUGCGAGGAGUAAAGCGGUUCGGUGUUCGCGGGAAGCUAAGUCUCCGCUAUAUCGGACCUUUCGAGAUUUUGGAACGAGUUGGCGCGGUGGCCUACAAGUUAGCGUUACUACCGAGGCUCGCGGGAGUACAAGAUGUAUUUCAUGUAUCCCAACUCCGCAAGUAUGUCUAUGACCCAGAUCAUGUCCUCUCGUAUAUACCGAUAGAGCUCCAAGAGGAUAUGACUUAUGAGGAGUUCCCGGCUUAUAUCGUGGAUCGGGAAGCGAGGAAACUAAGGAACUAGGAAAUCCCGUAUGUUAAAGUUCAUUGGAGUGAACAUGAUGACCGGGAAGAAACUUAGAAACUGGAGAGCGAGAUGCGGGAGCGCCAUCCUCAUCUCUUCGAUGAGUUGAAUUGAGGUAAAGAUUUCGAUUCCGAAUAAGUAGUUUCGCGGACGAAACUAAAUUUUAGGGGUGGAGAAUGUAACACACCACAUCCCUCGUAAAUUGUGCCGAGUUCCGUUGAAACGGGCGGAAUGCAGAAUGAAACGAGUUAGAGUAGACCCUAAGUGCAUUAGAGUCCAUAAAUGAAGCAAAAAGGGACCCGAGAAAGCAAAUCUGAAAAUCUGGCUAAGUCUCAGAUUUUGAGCUCUCGGGGACCGGUCCGUGAAGGAGAGACCGGUCCCCGUACGCAUAGCCUGCCAGGAAUCCUGAGGCAACCGGUCCCUGGCAGUGAGACCGGUCCUCGGGAGACUGGUCCCUGAAGGAGAGACCGGUUCCUCGCUGCGCAGCCAGCCAAAAAACUUGAAAAUUUGGCUAAGUCCUGGAAAACCCACGUUCGGGAACCGGUCCCUGGUCGGGGAGACCGGUCCCCGACAGUGAAAAACGCCCAGUCUGGGCAGUGCACUAUGAAACAAGUGGAGGGGCUUAAGUGCAAUUGUCACAACAUGUUAUAUGGCCAUCCCCUUCACUCUCACAACCAUUUCUCUCAUCUCUCAUUUUCUCUUUUUCUAACCCUAGAGCUUGGAGAAAAAGGAGAAGAAGAUAGUGGAGGGAUAUUUGGAGGUUUUGGAGUUUCUAGAAGCUCUCCAACAAGAGGAUCUUGGUGGGGCUUGGACUAGAGGUAAGUUUUGUAAGGUUUUCCUCUAGGGUUUGGAUUUUGGUUUAGGGAUUUGGAGCUUUGUGCUCCUUAGAGGCUUUAUAGGCUCUUUUGAGCCAUGAAUACCAUGGUACCCAUAAGAGCUUAAGGUGCUCUCAUGGUGAACACUUGGGGGCUAGGAUAGAUGCCCUAGGGAUGGUUCUAAAGGCUUGGAAACCUUAUUAGAAAGCUUCCUAGGUGAUUCUAAGCUAGUAUUUGCUUAGGGUUGAGAUCAAUCUAGGAGUUGAGCCAAAAUGACAUUGUUAGGGCUUGAAAAUUGGGGCUUUUGCCCUAGAAUUUUUCGGGGACGAAUUGACCCCGUAGAAACCUAAUUGGGGGUGCCCUAAAUGCGUGGGACAACUCCGUUUAACGUUACGAAAAUGUUAGAGUAUAGUUCAUGUGCAAAAGGCCUAAUAUGGCACUAUUUUUGUUAUAGGGCGUGGAAUCGGUUUUCGUAAAGUUCGGGAGUCAUCACAUUCUACACCCACACGAUCAUUAGAGGUGGGGGGUACACGCCGGAAUCGUUGGAUUCCUUUCUAUGUUUGUUUCACUUUUGUUGAGCAUUUUGUUAUAUAACCAUUCAUGCAUAGUAGGGUAAUCUUACAUGUGACUAGAGGUUAGAAUUUCAAUAUUGUGCUUCUAAUGUAGAUGAACAUAGUGAUUGAAGAAGAAUCGAAAUGGACAUGUAUGAUUGAACCCGAGAGAUGUGUGAAUGUGGGACUUGGACUUGACCAUAGUAAACAAAGGUGACAUUGACUAUAGAGACAAGAUUGGCAUUAACAAAAAUGACUAGAAAGUGACAUGAACAAAUAGGUAGAAAAUCUAUCAUAAAAGUGGCAUUGUGACUAGUGGUUAUGUAUCCUCAACUUGAGAAUUGGAUCGAGGCUCACGUGGACUUAGGCUUGAGGGAGGUCGCUCCUCCUCAAGUGGUGUACUUCGAAGUGUAGACA